UACGUAGGGUGCGAGCGUUGUCCGGAAUUAUUGGGCGUAAAGGGCUCGUAGGCGGUCUGUUGCGUCGGGAGUGAAAACUCAGGGCUUAACCCUGAGCCUGCUUCCGAUACGGGCAGACUAGAGGUAUGCAGGGGAGAACGGAAUUCCUGGUGUAGCGGUGAAAUGCGCAGAUAUCAGGAGGAACACCGGUAGCGAAGGCGGUUCUCUGGGCAUUACCUGACGCUGAGGAGCGAAAGUGUGGGGAGCGAACAGG
rnacentral:rRNA from 1 species